GCCAGGCGUGGUGGUGCACGCCUGUAAUCCUAGCUACUCAGGAGGCUGAGGCAGGAGAAUUGCUUGAACCCGGGAGGCGGAGGUUGCAAUGAGCCGAGAUCAUGCCAUUGCACUCCAGCCUGGGUGACAGAGCAAGACUCUGUCUCAA
rnacentral:SRP_RNA from 1 species